rnacentral:sRNA from 2 species
GGUUUUGCCAUAUAUCAACAUGAAUCUGUCACCCCAUUGAUCGUUAGGGUUGAUUCGGCUGAUCUGGCUGGCUAGGCAGGUGUCCCCUUCCUCCCUCACCGCUCCAUGUGCAUCCCUCCGGAAGCUGUGCACUCGGUCGAAGAGGAUGACCAUCCCCCAUAGAGGAGGACCGGUCUUCGGUCCAAGGGUAUACGAAUAGCUGAGCUCCCGGCUAGAACCUCCAAACAAAUCUAAUUCUCUUU